GAUGAACGCUGGCGGCGUGCCUAAUACAUGCAAGUCGAGCGAACGGACGAGAAGCUUGCUUCUCUGAUGUUAGCGGCGGACGGGUGAGUAACACGUGGAUAACCUACCUAUAAGACUGGGAUAACUUCGGGAAACCGGAGCUAAUACCGGAUAAUAUUUUGAACCGCAUGGUUCAAGAGUGAAAGACGGUCUUGCUGUCACUUAUAGAUGGAUCCGCACUGCAUUAGCUAGUUGGUAAGGUAACGGCUUACCAAGGCAACGAUGCAUAGCCGACCUGAGAGGGUGAUCGGCCACACUGGAACUGAGACCCGGUCCAGACUCCUACGGGAGGCAGCAGUAGGGAAUCUUCCGCAAUGGGCGAAAGCCUGACGGAGCAACGCCGCGUGAGUGAUGAAGGUCUUCGGAUCGUAAAACUCUGUUAUUAGGGAAGAACAUAUGUGUAAGUAACUGUGCACAUCUUGACGGUACCUAAUCAGAAAGCCACGGCUAACUACGUG
rnacentral:rRNA from 1 species